rnacentral:lncRNA from 13 species
ACAAUACAAAACAGGCUACCUAAAUAUGGUUCCCAAUCAGAGACAACGACUAACACCUGCCUCUGAUUGAGAACCAUAUCAGGCCAAACACAUAGAAACAGACAAACUAGACAUACAACAUAGAAUGCCCACUCAUAUCACACCCUGACCACACAAAACAUAGAAACAAACAGCGCAAACUAUGGUCAGAGUGUGUCACCUUUGUUUUACUUGUCUACAGUGUUGUGGUUAAGUAUUGAUACCCUAAUUGGCAGUGUGUAACAUCAGUUGUCGUUUUUGGUGAACAUAAUUUGCUGAAGAUUUGCUGGUUGACUAACGACUACCAUGUCUGUGUGUGUGUGUGCCUUGCUGUUAAUUUAUUUUCUGACUCUUUUAAUGCCUGAAGAGAUAGUCCUGAAUUAUAUAUAUACUGUAUAUAUUUUUAUUUUACCCUUAUUUUACCAGGUAAGUUGACUGAGAACACAUUCUCAUUUACAGCAACGACCUGGGGAAUAGUUACAGGAGAGAGGAGGGGGAUGAAUGAGCCAAUUGUAAACUGGGNNNNNNNNNNCAACCAAUACAUCACCAUGAGUAGCCUAGCUAUAGUUAGCUAGGUCAACCAAUACAUCAUCAUGAGUAGCCUAGCUAUAGUUAGCUUGGUCAACCAAUACAUCAUCAUGAGUAGCCUAGCUAUAGUUAGCUUGGUCAACCAAUACAUCAUCUUGAGUAGCCUAGCUAUAGUUAGCUAGGUCAACCAAUACAUCAUCAUGAGUAGCCUAGCUAUAGUUAGCUUGGUCAACCAAUACAUCAUCAUGAGUAGCCUAGCUAUAGUUAGCUAGGUCAACCAAUACAUCAUCAUGAGUAGCCUAGCUGUAAUUAGCUUGGUCAACCAAUACAUCAUCAUGAGUAGCCUAGCUAUAGUUANNNNNNNNNNGGGGGGGGCAUAGCAAUGUUUCAGACAUACUGGUCCUAUGUUCUAUCAAGUCAUAUGUUUAUAUUACUACUAAUGUGUUUUACAAUUCAUUGUUGUAUACAUUUUUGUAGCACUGCUUGUAAAAUGAAUUUGGGUAUCUAGAUAUGAAAUGACUAUCUAUCUAUCACAUUGAUCAAACCUAGUAACAAUAGUGCACGUAUGAGUAGCUAAUAAAAUGAAAUAAGUGUUAUGAUACCUUACUUUUGUCUUGGUUCCUCUUGUGACUGCUUAUCACUGACCUAUUGCACUGAUAUAACGACCCUAUUGUACUGUAUCACUAGAAUAUGAAUAACCAAAUGUUGCACUGGUUCUGAGAGACAU